rnacentral:lncRNA from 1 species
UUCGCUCCUUAAAUGGUGUGUCUCUCUUCUCAUGGCUUCUGGUGUGUCUCUCUUCUCAUGGCUUCUGGUGUGUUUCCGAAGCAAUAGAGUGAGUUGCGGUCUCGGUUCUUCCCCAAAUAAAGUUCGGCUUUCAAUGAUUCUCUAUCAUUCCUCUUUCUUCAACAGUUCAUUUGCUAGGAUGUUUAUGGGUUGAUCUUGUCUUGGUUCUCUAUCUUGUUCGAGUUAAUUGUUUCAUGUUAUGUUUUUUGGGUUUAGAGGAUCAGUUGAUUCUGCUGGCUUAUGUCUCUAGAAGAUGCUGUUUGCUCUUGCUAGCUUUAGGUCCUGAGAGUACUAGUUACUCGUCAGCUUAGUAUCUCAAAAACGUAUUCCUCUAAUGUAUCCUUCUAAGGUCAAUGAAAGUUCUCUGGGAAAAAAAAACAUUUCGCUCCUAGUCCGAAACUCGGUGGGAAGAGAAUUUGCACUAUGGGAAGAGAAUUUGUACUAUGUCUUAGUAUAAGAAAGAAUCAAUUUCCCCGAUCUAGGAGGAUUAAUAGACCCAAACACUUCCUGGUUAACAAUUUUUUUUGUCUCAGCCCGAAGGCCAUUAACUUCAUCACCAUGGUUCCCAAUUUCUAAACUCAAACACUAAGAACUCUGUAUAAUCAUUUUCUCUUUAGCAUUGUAAGUAGUGAUAGAAUAUGGAAUGGAGAAUCAGAAGAUCAAUCAUGCCCCACAAUCUCGUCACUAUUUACUCCUAAAUAUCUUCACUAUUAUUACAUUAACGAUCGUAUAUUCUAACCUUGUAUAGCACUCUGUUUCUCUGUAUAUAAACAGAGCCCUCAUAUCAAUAAUACUUAUCGGUUCAUACCAAUUCAUUAAGUAGAAGACAACAACAUUUCGACUCCGACGAGUUCCAUUUUUCCCAAUCAUCUCCAUGACUAACACCAGUGUUUUUGUUAAUGUAUUGUUUAACUCGAAUUUUUCAUAUUUAAAUAUAGUAAAAUUUAAUUUUCAGAUUCUUUUUUUUUUAAGUCAUUGGAUGAAAAUAUAUGUUUGAUGAUUACAUGUAAAUUAAAAUAGAGAAAACUCUAAAACAAAAUAAUUUAUAAAAAAAUGAAAAGAAUGCAGUUUAAUAUACAACUAGAUAGAGAUCCGCGCUUUGCGCGGAGUAAACAUAUAUAUAAAAUAAGAAAAAUUAUUCAUCCUUUAGCUUGUUAUUUCCAUUCAGUAAAAUCUAAGAAGACUUAAGUAAUGAUUGUUUACUUAGAUUUUAGAUUUUGCAUUUUGAUUUACAUCUUUUAAUUUUUAGUUUUGGAUUUUGUUUUUGAUUUUGUAGUAGAUUUUAAUUUUUUUUUAAAACAUGAAUGGUGAUUCUAGAUUUUAGUUUUUAUUUAAUUUUUAAUUUUUUUGUAUUUUUGGUUUCUUUAAAGUUUGAUUAGUAAUUUAUAUAAUUCUAAGAGUUUGUCUAUUAUUCUUAAGAACUUCACUUAUAAGUUAAUUUUUUUUAUGUAAACUUUACAUAAUUUUUUUAAAAAUAAUUAAUUUAUUUUAUUGAAAAUUUUUAAAAUAUGUUAUUAUAUAAACUUUUCAUAUUAUAUAUGUUAACAAAUUAUUUUUACGAAAACCUAUUUGUAUAUUUUAGAAUAAAAAUAUUAUUACUAUCAUAUCAUUUUGAUAAUUUCUUAUGUAUUUUUAUUAUAUUAAUAUAUAGCAAACAAAAACCUUCAACAGAGUUACCCGGAUCUCACAGUGGAUUUCCUCAUCAACUCGGAAUCCCGAACUUGGAACCUUCAGGCAAUUAGGGCUUUAGUGGAUCCUCAUGAUGUAAAAAUCAUUGAAAGUAUCCCAUUAACCAAACAUCUGAUGGAAGAUAGGAACGGAUGACAUUUCACUAACAAUGGGAAAUAUUCGGUUAAAUCAGGGUAUCAAGUAGAACAUGUAUAUCCUGAUAAGGAAAAACCACCAGAAUUUAUUGGGCCCACAGUGGAUUUACUUAAAGCUUUCUGUUGGGAAGUGCGGUGUCCGCCGAAGAUUAAGCAUUUUUUAUGGCAACUCCUUUCAGGUUGUAUAGCGGUAAUGAAAAACCUCAAAGCGAGAGGAAUACAAGGGAACAUAUGUUGUGCUCGAUGUGGAGAUCCGGAGGAAUCAAUAAACCAUGUGUUUUUUUAAUGUCCCCCAGCACGUCAAGUGUGGGCAUUAUCUAAAAUACCAUUGAAUCCCAAUUUUUUUCCUACAAGGUCUUUUUUUGGUAAUAUGGAUCAUCUUUGUUGGAGAGUUAAUCCAAAGAUCGAUGACCAUCAAUUUGCUUGGAUAUUAUGGUAUAUAUGGAAAGGUCGGAAUAAUAAAGUAUUUAGUAAUCUGGAUACUGACCCAAGGGAAACACUUAAAUUAGCAGAAUUGGAAUCAGCACUUUGGGCUGAGGCACAUAUACUCACUGAUCAAAAGAAAGAACUUCAGGUGCAGACCAGAAUCUCAUUAGUAACGUUAGGACGUUGGUGCUUUAUAGAUGGUUCGUGGAAAGAUAACGAACUAUUUUCAGGACAAGGCUGGUAUAGUACCCUACCGGGUUUUGAUGGUUUAUUAGGGGCAAGGAAUGUAAGGGCAUGUCUUUCACCUCUUCAUUCGGAGGUGGAGGCCUUGAUUUGGGCAAUGGAAUGUAUGAAGAAUUUAAGACAGUUUCAUGUUACGUUUGCCACAGAUUGUUCUCAAUUGGUGAAGAUGGUUUCGGAACCAGAAGAAUGGCCAGCAUUUGAAAGUUAUCUGAAAGAUAUCAAAUUUUUACAAGGAAGCUUCCUCAACUCAGACAUCGUUCAUGUACCUCGAACGGAGAACCAACGGGUGGAUAGCUUAGCACGCAGUGCUAGGAAACAACCGUCUUUCGUCGUUCACAUGGAUGCGGAAUUACCGUUUUGGUUUACAUAGUCAAUAUGAGUCUUUGAAUGUCUUAUUGUCAAAAAAAUAAAAAAAAAUAUAGAAGAAUAUUUUAAUAAGAAAUAAAAAGAAAAUAUGAAACCACGUACAUUGUUCUUUUUUUCUUCGCUGGUAGAUUUAUUAAAGAGGCAGAGCCCAAAGAGGCAGAGCCCAACACAGAAAAAUACAAAAAGCCUAAGCAAAGGCACACCUAAACAUAAAAGGCCCAACGGAAAAGCCCAAACUACAAACAACAUAAAACUAAACGACCCAAAACACAAGGCCCAAAAACACAACAGCUUGCGGCCGAAAGCCCACAAGAGAAAACCCGUUGGGAAAGAAAGAGAUACGACGCCACCACGUGUACGAACACCCAGCGUUCAAUGUACACGUGUCAAGACGAGACCCAACUUUCUUCCUCCGGUGCCAGCGAAGAGGCGCGACGGAGCUCCGUCAACAACGAAGCCAAUCCCGGUGAAUAGUCGACCAAUCAAAGCAGUCUUCACGGAAGUUCAAUUCGUAGAAACUUAGCUAACAAUCUACGCUUUUGAGAAGAACAUCAAUCGUCUACGACCCAAAACAAAAGGGAGGAAAGAGACAACAGAACAUCAGAUCAAGAGUCGAUUGGACUAGGAAAGACCAGAAGCGGAGAUGGAGACCAACCGGAAUACUCUAGUGAGAAGCCGGCGAAGGACGAUGCUAUGGGAGCCAUCCCUUCCCGGAGACCAUAAGCCGGCGAAGACGGUGAUAAAGAAUCCACUGUUUCCCAAAGUCAUAAGUCCGACCAUCGGAAGUCAGAUCCGGACGGAUAACACCAAAACCGGAAUAAAGGAACCGGCGGUGAAAAGAUGAAGCUUUCUCUCUCCUCUGUGUAAGGUUUUAGAGAGGGAACAGAGCUAAGAGAGCCUUUUACCACGUACAUUGUUGAGAAAGCUUAGAAAUCUUGAUUUGGUUUUUGUUUGAAAAGAAGUAGUUGUUUACAUUUCCACUUUUAACUACAAUCUUAUUCGCCGCAACUUCAGAUGUACCAUUCUGCAAUGUCAGUCAAAUCUCAGCAAGAAAGUUACAAUUUACAGCACAAAAGAAAUGUCUUACAAAUUUGACUAUUCUGACGUGUACUUUACUUGAAUUACACUUCUAUCUGACCACGAUUCUAAAAUUGCAACACUUGCUUAUGGUGCAUCGAGAGAUUAAAGUUCAAAGUUUUAUGAUUGCAAGUACAAAUUUGAAUUCAAAAGAGCUGUUAAUCUUAUUUAACAAUUUUAUUUUGUAGAAGAUUUUAUAAAAGGAUAAUUACUAUCAAACAAAUUUUUACAAUUAUAUUUUCUUUAUGAUUUUAGAAAACGAAAAUUAGUAUUAAGUAAAUUAUUAUACAUUUUUUUUUGUUUAAGAAUUGUAAAAAGGAAAAAAAAAUUAGAAAAAGAAAAUUAUUGUCAACUAAAAACUAUCAAAUAAUCUUUUGCUAUUAUCUUUGUUUAUGAUUUAAAAAAAAAAUUACUAUUAAAUAAUUCUUGUGUUAUUAUCUUAUUAUACUUAUAUUAUUAAUUAUGAUAUAUUAAGCAAUUAUGUUUGGUGACAAAAUAUGAGAGAGCUUAAUUUUAUAUAUAGAUGUGAAUAAUUGUAAUCUUUUCAGUUACAAAAAAAAAAUGUAAUCCUUUUUGGAUUAUGAUUUCUUAAACAGAAAAUUUACUAUUUAAAUAAUAGAGUCUAUUAUUAUAUGAAAAUAUUUAAAAUACUUAUUUUACUUUUUUUAGAUUUGAAGAAAAAAAAAACUACAAUUAAACACUCUUUAACGGGUUUUUUUUGUAGAAGAUUUUAUAAACGAAUAAUUACUAUCAAACAAAUUUUCAAAAUUAUAUUUUUUUUUAUUUUAGAAAACAAAAAUUAGUAUUAAGUAAAUUAUUAUACAUAUAUUUUUUUAGGAAUUGUAAAAAGGAAAAAAAAUAUAAAAAUGAAAUUAUUGUCAACUAAAAAAACUAUCAAAUAAUUUUUUGCUGUUAUCUUUAUUUAGUAUUUUAAAGAACGAUUUUACAAAACGAAAAAUUAGUAUUAAGUAAAUUAUUAUACAUAUAUUUUUUAUAGGAAUUGUAAAAAGGAAAAAAAAAAAUAGAAAAAGGAAAUUAUUGUCAACUAAAAACCAUCAAAUAACAUUUUGCUAUUAUUAUCUUUGUUUAGUAUUUAAAAAAAAAAGAAAAUUACCAUUAAAUAAUUCUUUUAUGUUAUUAUGUUAUUAUAUUUAUAUUUUUAAUUAUGAUAUAUUUUAACACAUGUCAUCAUCUUAAAUUUUUAAUCGCCAUGUGUCAUCGUCAUGUUAAUUAAAAUUAUUAUACAUAUUUUUUUUUAGAAAUUAUAAAAAGGAAAAAAAAAUUAGAAAAAAGAAAUUAUUGUCAACUAAAAACCAUCAAAUAACUUUUUGCUAUUAUUAUCUUUGUUCAGUAUUUAAAAAAAGAAAAAUUACCAUUAAAUAAUUCUUUUGUGUUAUUAUCUUAUUAUAUUUAUAUUUUUAAUUAUGAUAUAUUUUACCACAUGUUAUCAUCUUAAAUUUUUAACUUCUUUAUGUCAUCGUCAUGUUAAUUAGCAACUUUGAAGAAUCAAGCUUUAUAUAAUAAGAUUACGCUCAUUGAUCAAAAAAUAAUAAUUUAACAUUUCGCUCCUUAAAUGGUGUGUCUCUCUUCUCAUGGCUUCUGGUGUGUCUCUCUUCUCAUGGCUUCUGGUGUGUUUCCGAAGCAAUAGAGUGAGUUGCGGUCUCGGUUCUUCCCCAAAUAAAGUUCGGCUUUCAAUGAUUCUCUAUCAUUCCUCUUUCUUCAACAGUUCAUUUGCUAGGAUGUUUAUGGGUUGAUCUUGUCUUGGUUCUCUAUCUUGUUCGAGUUAAUUGUUUCAUGUUAUGUUUUUUGGGUUUAGAGGAUCAGUUGAUUCUGCUGGCUUAUGUCUCUAGAAGAUGCUGUUUGCUCUUGCUAGCUUUAGGUCCUGAGAGUACUAGUUACUCGUCAGCUUAGUAUCUCAAAAACGUAUUCCUCUAAUGUAUCCUUCUAAGGUCAAUGAAAGUUCUCUGGGAAAAAAAAACAUUUCGCUCCUAGUCCGAAACUCGGUGGGAAGAGAAUUUGCACUAUGGGAAGAGAAUUUGUACUAUGUCUUAGUAUAAGAAAGAAUCAAUUUCCCCGAUCUAGGAGGAUUAAUAGACCCAAACACUUCCUGGUUAACAAUUUUUUUUGUCUCAGCCCGAAGGCCAUUAACUUCAUCACCAUGGUUCCCAAUUUCUAAACUCAAACACUAAGAACUCUGUAUAAUCAUUUUCUCUUUAGCAUUGUAAGUAGUGAUAGAAUAUGGAAUGGAGAAUCAGAAGAUCAAUCAUGCCCCACAAUCUCGUCACUAUUUACUCCUAAAUAUCUUCACUAUUAUUACAUUAAC